CAAUAGCGUAUAUUAAAGUUGUUGCGGUUAAAAAGCACGUAGUUGGAUUUCUGUUGAGGGCAGCCGGUCCGUACUUGUUGCGUGUAUCUGGUUCGACCUCGGCAUCCUCUCAACCCACGUUUCUGUGCUUUGUUGCAUGGAGCGCAGGUUGAGACUUUCACUUUGAGGAAAUUAGAGUGUUCACGGCAGGCGAUCGCCAUGAAUAUAUUAGCAUGGAAUAAUAAUAUAGGAUCUCGGUUCUAUUUUGUUGGUUUCUAGAGCUGAGAUAAUGAUUAAUAGGGACAAUUGGGGGCAUUCGUAUUAACGCGUCAGAGGUGGAAUUCUUGGAUUGCGUUACGACGAACUACUGCGAAAGCAUUUGCCAAGGAUGUUUUCAUUGA
rnacentral:rRNA from 1 species